ACUAGGGAGGGGCGCGGUUUCAUCCGCCAUGGGCGCUGUAGAGGUUCCAUAGCUGGAGCACGGGGGCAGCGUGGUGGGCUGUCCACGGUACCAUCCGCCAAGCUACUUCUUCCUGCAACCAACACCAAGGAACAAUCCCGUAGUUCUUCCUGCAACAAACGCCAAGCUACUUCUGAUUGACUGUCUCACUGCUGGUGAUCUAACACUGCAGUGGGUUUUGAUUGGUUUUGCAGACAUGCAGUAUUGGAGAUGAUGUACUGAGCUAGGCUGGGAAGGCACCUCAGCAUGCUGGAGACUGAACCAGCUGCUGCAACACAUCUAAUUCUCCCCGUUCCCCGUAUGUUUAACAAGGUCUGUUUGCAGGGGUAUGCACAAGCACGCGAGAUUAGGCUAGGGUACCUCGUCGCCGGGGAAGAAUGCCAGGUGCGUAUCCACGAUUCGAGAAAAGCAGAAGAAAAGAUCGGAUCAAACUUAACCCACACGUGCACCUGCUCAAGAACAAGAACAGAGGAGGCAGGGGAGGAGAUAUAAAAAGGAAAUCUGGAUAGGGAGUUUGCCUCUGAAUGUUGCGUGUGCUUCUAUUCCGUGAAGAGCAUGCUAACCUAUUGCUGUUCACGAUGACUAUGAUGUGUAAUUUGUAAAUCUUCUGUCCUUUCGUUCCAAAAAAGUUGGUAGGAUUUGUUUCAAACAAAUAAAUAUUCUGUCCUAUCAUCUUUGUAGAUGGAAGGAGUUCAUGAACUCCAUAAUUCAGUAGCCAUCAUGUUUGUAAUGUUAUUUUCCCAAUUUCCCAACAAUUGAAGCUUCAACUAUUGCUUAACGGAGAAAAUAAUUAGUAAAUUUGUUGAACAUUCUGAUACGUGUCAUGCUUCCUAUACUGUCAUUUGAACUUUCAAAGCCAAAAUGCUUUAUUGGUGUCUCGUGAAGUGGUGAUACAUAUAAUCUCCCAUGUUCAUCUAAUUGUGAGAUUUUAAUCAUAUAUUUGUUUUGGUAGCCGAACAAAGGUGUGAAAAAUAAUGGUAACUACUCUUGCAGGGGAACCGCUCCCAGCGAAGGGAGGGGUGCGAAGGGGUCGGCCAGCGGCAGGGGACGGAGCGCACAAGGGAGUUGGACGACGGCGGGAUGCCAAUGCCUAGGGGAGUCUGCCGACAACAGGGACGUGUAAGAAAAACAAAGUCUGCAUAUAAUUUUUUUUUUCAAAAGUUCCACAAAAAGCAUCAAACCUUAUUAAGUGCGAAUUAGGAUUUUCACCUUCUUAUCCUUUUUUUUUAGUGUUCACCUUCUUAUCUUGACAA